rnacentral:rRNA from 1 species
CAAUAGCGUAUAUUAAAGUUGUUGCAGUUAAAAGCUCGUAGUUGGAUUUCGGAACGGGCCAGUUGGUCCGCCGCAAGGUGAGUUACUGACUGGUCUGUUCUUCUUCGCAAAGACUGCGUGUGCUCUUUGUUGAGUGGGCGUAGGAUUUACGACGUUUACUUUGAAAAAUUAGAGUGUUCAAAGCAGGCUAUCGCUUGAAUACAUGAGCAUGGAAUAAUGGAAUAGGACUUUGGUCCUAUUUUGUUGGUUUCUAGGACCGAAGUAAUGAUUAAGAGGGACAAUUGGGGGCAUCCGUAUUUCGUUGUCAGAGGUGAAAUUCUUGGAUUUACGAAAGACGAACAACUGCGAAAGCACUUGCCAAGAGUGUUUUCAUUAAUCAAGAACGAAAGUUAGAGGAUCGAAGACGAUCAGAU